GUACCUAUUUCCACAGCACAUAGACUAAAAUUGGAAAAAUACAGAGAAGGAUUAGCGUAGCGCCUUCCCAAGGGUGACACACAACUUCAUGAAACAUUUGUAUUCAUA